GUGAGGUUCAUUCGUAGCGGUUGAUAGAGCUUCCGACCCAGGUAUCGGUUAGUUUUACCCUACUAUUCUGUUGUUAUAGCUUAGUCAGUUUAUAUGUUGCAGUAUUUUUAUUACAUUGGAAAAUGUGAAUUUCUGGAUUUUGUAAAAUAAAAGUUUCUACCCUCGUGUAGCGUUUUUAACGAAUAAGGUUUCCGUGUAGAAACAGUUUUCAAAAGAAUUUUCGUGAAUUUAUAUUUAAAACAUGAAUGUAAAACUGUGAUGUGAAUGGGAAUGUAUGAAUGUAUACUUAUGUAUAUUCAUUUGAUUGUGUUGUAUACUGUUUGUUUUUGUACUCGUGUGACGGCCGUGCAAGUACAGGGGAGACUCUGUCCGUGUGAACAGUGGAUUCCUGUAUUUGUGGCGGACUGCGCAUACUCUGGGGUCAAGUUUUCAAAAAAAAAAAAAAAAUUCAAACGCUUUUCCGCUGUAUUUCAAACAAAAAGGGGAACCCCUGGGCGUGACAAUUGGUCCCCUAGGUUGAGGUCCCACUGGGUUAUAGUAUUUAAUCCAAUGGUUAGAAAUGAUAAAAGAGUUGAUCAAAAGGCUAAAAAACUGGUAGCAAUAAUGAAAUUUUGCUACUAAUAGUAGCCCAGUCCACUCUAUAUAUAUAUAUAGAGUGAGGCUAUCUAUGCUAUCGGAAGCACGGAGCCUUCCGUGCUUCAGUCGUUUUCGAUGUUGCGACUUUGAAUAAUCGAUCGGCUCCGUUAAACUUGAUCUAGAGUAUUUGGAGUACCUUAGAAAAUAAAUUUUAUUAUUUUUCCAUAUCAUUUGCCUAGUGAUCGAAUGGGCCUCAAAAUCAACAAAUUCAAUGGCCGUAGUGAGCAGUUGGAAGUUUAACGGUGUAGAAAUAUCCAAAUCACGUGACAUUUUGAUAGAAAAUUCUUUAUACUAUAUAAAACAAGAUCAAUAUCUUUGAUUUAAAAUUUUAAUGUCAUAUUAUUAUAUUUGUAAGAUUUUUAUUUUGAGCCGUUAAUUUUGAGCCCUACAUUCACUAGGCAAAUGAUUUGUAAAAUCAUAAAAUUUAUUUCUAGGUACUUCAAAUACUCUAUAUCAAGUUUAACGGAGUCCGUCGACGAUUCGAAAGUCGCAACAUCAAAAAACGAGCUGGAAGCACGAAAGGUUCCGUACUCGAUAGCAUACGUAACUCAAUAUAUAUAUAGUAUAUAUAUAUAUAUAUAUAUAAUAUAUAUAUAUAUAUAUAUAAUAUAUAUAUAGAAUUAGGCUCAUUAUACUAUCUAUAUACGGAGCUCCAGGUACUAUAGUCUUGUUUUCGAUUUAGGGUGUUCAAAUUAACGAUCCACACCGUUAAAUAUGAUUUAGGGUAUAUGAAGUUCUUAGGAAUAAAAUUUAGUUUUUUUCGACAUCAUUUAUUAGUAAAUAAAUUAUGUCAAAAUGGACGCGUGGAUAAUUGAAUAANNNNNNNNNNNNNNNNNNNNNNNNNNNNNNNNNNNNNNNNNNNNNNNNNNNNNNNNNNNNNNNNNNNNNNNNNNNNNNNNNNNNNNNNNNNNNNNNNNNNCUAAGCAUGAUAUCGACAUGGAAAUAACUGAGUAGAGGAAUGCAGAUAAAAUGCAGGUGCAAGGUUCAAUAUAACUAUAAGGUAGAGUAAACAGUAGGGGUGAAGAAGCGUCACCGAGCGUGCACCACUAUACCGACUACGGGUCGAAGUACCCACCUGUACGUGUCCAACGAAGGUCUCUCGACUGUGGAGACGGUGCAACCGAACCUACGAAAGGUCCAACGGGUUAAGAUCUAACCCACUGACAUGUAACGCUAACUCACAAUCCCCACUCACCAAAACCACGAGAACCGGUUUCCCAAAACCGAUUACCGAACAAACCGGAAGUCCCGAAAACCGCACCGGAACUCCCCCGUCGCUCACCCGUCGUUUCCAAACCCUCGAAACAACACGGGUGACCAGCCAAAAAGGCUGAGCGACGCUACAAUCAACCACAAGGUAUCGUCGGAUGAAUUCCGAAUCGAAAACACAUUCUAUCGGCGGAUUUCGUCGAAAAACGCUCCGAAAACCACUUUUCACCCUCGCAAUAAGAGGGCCGUGCGGCUCAACGGUUUGGCCCAAAUCCAACCGCGACUUUUCCGGAAAAGAACACCCCCGUCUUGCGGUGGGAUCAGACGCUGGUGUUUCUGUGAAAAUGCGGUACCUUGGCGUCGGCGCAAUGUUUAGUAUGCUCAAAGAGAUUCGUGUCCACGCAACUUAGCCGACAAUCCAGUUUGCCCCUCAUGGUGCACAUCGAGCUGCGUAUGGGUAGGGUCAUCGAGCAGAAGCUGGUCGGGGCUGACGUAUGGUCAAGAGUAGAAUUGUUAGCAACGUCGAGCCGAAUCGAUAGGUCAGUUUAGAUAUCCAAAUAGGGAGAAACCGGGCGGGGGGGGCCAAACCAAGAAUCACGGAGUAUUAGUGAACAGAUAAGUCAACUCUAUUUCAGGUUAUCGGUUUAGUUUUAUCCCUACUAUUCUGUUGUUAUAGCUUAGUCAGUUUAUAUGGUUCAGUAUUUUUAUUACAUUGGAACAUAUGGACUUUCAUGAACGUAUUAAAAGGAUUUCUGGAUUUGGUAAAAUAAAAGGUUUUCUACCCCUCGUGGUAGCUUCUAUAAAAGAUAAAAGUUUUCGCGUACGAAACAGUUUUCAAAAUAUUUUUCGUGGACUCCUGUUUAAACAUUGAAUGUAAAACUACGGUGUGAAUGGUGAAUGUAUGAAUGUAUAGCUAUCUGUAUAUUCAUUUAGUUGUGGUUGUAUACUGUUUGUACCUUUGUACUUGUGUGACGCCGUGCAAAUACAUGGGAGACUCUGUCCGUGUGAACAGUGGAUUCCCUGUAUUUGUGGCGGAUCUGGCAUACUCUGGGGUCAGGUUUUCAAAAAAAAAAAAAAAAAAUUUAAACGCUUUUCCGCUGUGUUUCAAACUAAAAGGGGACCCCGGGGCGUGACAAUUUGCGCGGCGUCGCACAAGUACAAGAGUUCAAACAUUAUACAACCACAACCAUUUGAACAUACAAAUGACCAACAGAUAUAUAUUCAUACACCAUUCACCACAGGUUCACAUUAAUACAUUCGAUAUUUAAAUAUAAAUCCACAGAAAGCCUUUUGAAAACUGUUCCCUACACAGAAACUUUUAUCUUUAUAAAACGCUACCACGAGGGGUAGAAAACAUUUUAUUUUACAAAAUCCAAAAAUUCUUUUAUUACAUUCAUGAAAAUCCACAUAUUCAAAUGUAAUAAAAAUACUGAAACAGGUAACUAUCUAAACUAUGUCAACAGAAUAGUAAGGGUAGGAACUAAACCAAUAACCUGGGUCGCAAGCUCUAUCGAC
rnacentral:lncRNA from 1 species